rnacentral:rRNA from 1 species
GAUGAACGCUGGCGGCGUGCUUAACACAUGCAAGUCGAACGAUGAAGCCCAGCUUGCUGGGUGGAUUAGUGGCGAACGGGUGAGUAACACGUGAGUAACCUGCCCUUGACUCUGGGAUAACUGCUGGAAACGGUAGCUAAUACCGGAUAUGACCAAUGAAGGCAUCUUCUGUUGGUGGAAAGAAUUUCGGUUCGGGAUGGACUCGCGGCCUAUCAGCUUGUUGGUGAGGUAACGGCUCACCAAGGCGACGACGGGUAGCCGGCCUGAGAGGGUGAUCGGCCACACUGGGACUGAGACACGGCCCAGACUCCUACGGGAGGCAGCAGUGGGGAAUAUUGCACAAUGGGCGCAAGCCUGAUGCAGCAACGCCGCGUGAGGGACGACGGCCUUCGGGUUGUAAACCUCUUUUAGUAGGGAAGAAGCGAAAGUGACGGUACCUGCAGAAAAAGCACCGGCUAACUACGUGCCAGCAGCCGCCGUAA